rnacentral:rRNA from 1 species
GGGUUGUGAGGUUAAGCGACUAAGCGUACACGGUGGAUGCCCUGGCAGUCAGAGGCGAUGAAGGACGUGCUAAUCUGCGAUAAGCGUCGGUAAGGUGAUAUGAACCGUUAUAACCGGCGAUUUCCGAAUGGGGAAACCCAGUGUGUUUCGACACACUAUCAUUAACUGAAUCCAUAGGUUAAUGAGGCGAACCGGGGGAACUGAAACAUCUAAGUACCCCGAGGAAAAGAAAUCAACCGAGAUUCCCCCAGUAGCGGCGAGCGAACGGGGAGCAGCCCAGAGCCUGAAUCAGUGUGUGUGUUAGUGGAAGCGUCUGGAAAGGCGCGCGAUACAGGGUGACAGCCCCGUACACAAAAAUGCACAUGCUGUGAGCUCGAUGAGUAGGGCGGGACACGUGGUAUCCUGUCUGAAUAUGGGGGGACCAUCCUCCAAGGCUAAAUACUCCUGACUGACCGAUAGUGAACCAGUACCGUGAGGGAAAGGCGAAAAGAACCCCGGCGAGGGGAGUGAAAAAGAACCUGAAACCGUGUACGUACAAGCAGUGGGAGCACGCUUAGGCGUGUGACUGCGUACCUUUUGUAUAAUGGGUCAGCGACUUAUAUUCUGUAGCAAGGUUAACCGAAUAGGGGAGCCGAAGGGAAACCGAGUCUUAACUGGGCGUUAAGUUGCAGGGUAUAGACCCGAAACCCGGUGAUCUAGCCAUGGGCAGGUUGAAGGUUGGGUAACACUAACUGGAGGACCGAACCGACUAAUGUUGAAAAAUUAGCGGAUGACUUGUGGCUGGGGGUGAAAGGCCAAUCAAACCGGGAGAUAGCUGGUUCUCCCCGAAAGCUAUUUAGGUAGCGCCUCGUGAAUUCAUCUCCGGGGGUAGAGCACUGUUUCGGCAAGGGGGUCAUCCCGACUUACCAACCCGAUGCAAACUGCGAAUACCGGAGAAUGUUAUCACGGGAGACACACGGCGGGUGCUAACGUCCGUCGUGAAGAGGGAAACAACCCAGACCGCCAGCUAAGGUCCCAAAGUCAUGGUUAAGUGGGAAACGAUGUGGGAAGGCCCAGACAGCCAGGAUGUUGGCUUAGAAGCAGCCAUCAUUUAAAGAAAGCGUAAUAGCUCACUGGUCGAGUCGGCCUGCGCGGAAGAUGUAACGGGGCUAAACCAUGCACCGAAGCUGCGGCAGCGACGCUUAUGCGUUGUUGGGUAGGGGAGCGUUCUGUAAGCCUGUGAAGGUGUGCUGUGAGGCAUGCUGGAGGUAUCAGAAGUGCGAAUGCUGACAUAAGUAACGAUAAAGCGGGUGAAAAGCCCGCUCGCCGGAAGACCAAGGGUUCCUGUCCAACGUUAAUCGGGGCAGGGUGAGUCGACCCCUAAGGCGAGGCCGAAAGGCGUAGUCGAUGGGAAACAGGUUAAUAUUCCUGUACUUGGUGUUACUGCGAAGGGGGGACGGAGAAGGCUAUGUUGGCCGGGCGACGGUUGUCCCGGUUUAAGCGUGUAGGCUGGUUUUCCAGGCAAAUCCGGAAAAUCAAGGCUGAGGCGUGAUGACGAGGCACUACGGUGCUGAAGCAACAAAUGCCCUGCUUCCAGGAAAAGCCUCUAAGCAUCAGGUAACAUCAAAUCGUACCCCAAACCGACACAGGUGGUCAGGUAGAGAAUACCAAGGCGCUUGAGAGAACUCGGGUGAAGGAACUAGGCAAAAUGGUGCCGUAACUUCGGGAGAAGGCACGCUGAUAUGUAGGUGAAGUCCCUCGCGGAUGGAGCUGAAAUCAGUCGAAGAUACCAGCUGGCUGCAACUGUUUAUUAAAAACACAGCACUGUGCAAACACGAAAGUGGACGUAUACGGUGUGACGCCUGCCCGGUGCCGGAAGGUUAAUUGAUGGGGUCAGCGCAAGCGAAGCUCUUGAUCGAAGCCCCGGUAAACGGCGGCCGUAACUAUAACGGUCCUAAGGUAGCGAAAUUCCUUGUCGGGUAAGUUCCGACCUGCACGAAUGGCGUAAUGAUGGCCAGGCUGUCUCCACCCGAGACUCAGUGAAAUUGAACUCGCUGUGAAGAUGCAGUGUACCCGCGGCAAGACGGAAAGACCCCGUGAACCUUUACUAUAGCUUGACACUGAACAUUGAGCCUUGAUGUGUAGGAUAGGUGGGAGGCUUAGAAGUGUGGACGCCAGUCUGCAUGGAGCCGACCUUGAAAUACCACCCUUUAAUGUUUGAUGUUCUAACGUUGACCCGUAAUCCGGGUUGCGGACAGUGUCUGGUGGGUAGUUUGACUGGGGCGGUCUCCUCCUAAAGAGUAACGGAGGAGCACGAAGGUUGGCUAAUCCUGGUCGGACAUCAGGAGGUUAGUGCAAUGGCAUAAGCCAGCUUGACUGCGAGCGUGACGGCGCGAGCAGGUGCGAAAGCAGGUCAUAGUGAUCCGGUGGUUCUGAAUGGAAGGGCCAUCGCUCAACGGAUAAAAGGUACUCCGGGGAUAACAGGCUGAUACCGCCCAAGAGUUCAUAUCGACGGCGGUGUUUGGCACCUCGAUGUCGGCUCAUCACAUCCUGGGGCUGAAGCAGGUCCCAAGGGUAUGGCUGUUCGCCAUUUAAAGUGGUACGCGAGCUGGGUUUAGAACGUCGUGAGACAGUUCGGUCCCUAUCUGCCGUGGGCGCUGGAGAACUGAGGGGGGCUGCUCCUAGUACGAGAGGACCGGAGUGGACGCAUCACUGGUGUUCGGGUUGUCAUGCCAAUGGCACUGCCCGGUAGCUAAAUGCGGAAGAGAUAAGUGCUGAAAGCAUCUAAGCACGAAACUUGCCCCGAGAUGAGUUCUCCCUGACCCUUUAAGGGUCCUGAAGGAACGUUGAAGACGACGACGUUGAUAGGCCGGGUGUGUAAGCGCAGCGAUGCGUUGAGCUAACCGGUACUAAUGAACCGUGAGGCUUAACCUUACAACGCCGAAG